GUGAGGAAUUUUCCGCAAUGGGCGAAAGCCUGGCGGAGCAAUGCCGCGUGAAGGAUGAAGGCCUAUGGGUUGUAAACUUCUUUUCUCAGAAAAGAAUUAUGACGGUAUCUGAGGAAUAAGCAUCGGCUAACUCUGUGCCAGCAGCCGCGGUAAGACAGAGGAUGCAAGCGUUAUCCGGAAUGAUUGGGCGUAAAGCGUCUGUAGGUUGUUUAAAAAGUAUUCUGUCAAAGAUUAGGGCUUAACCCUAGAUAGGCAGAAUAAACUUUUAAGCUAGAGUUUGGUAGAGGCAGAGGGAAUUCCCGGUGGAGCGGUGAAAUGCGUAGAUAUCGGGAGGAACACCAAAGGCGAAGGCACUCUGCUGGGCCAAUACUAACACUGAGAGACGAAAGCGAGGGGAGCAAAUGGGAUUAGAAACCCGAGUAGUCC
rnacentral:rRNA from 1 species